UGAGGGGAUGUGCUGAGGAGAGGAGGAGGCCAGUGCCCCCUGUGUCUCCCAACCAGGGAUCUGUGACUGACGGUCGUUCCUCACUUGGGACCAGCACAAGCCACCACCAACUUCAGGCAGGACUCCAGAGAAGACUCUUGCACAUCCUGAAUGGCCAGCAAAGUUUCAAACCGGGCAAGCUGAUAGCCGGGCAGACGGGGGAGAUUAGCAUACGGGAGCGGGAGCACUGCGGAGGGCAGGCAGUCUGGAAGUUCCAAAGAGCUGCCAUUUCAUGCAUAUGCAGCACUUUCCCAGAGCCAAAGGCAAUGGGACUGCAAUCACUUUUUUCUGUGUAUCUAUUCGAAGGUAGAAGCAGGUAUGCGGUUUCCUAAAGCUGCAGCCGAAACAGUGUAGAUAUGCCUAAUUUGGUAAAAAUAAACAGUAAGGAUUUCAAAGGACAUUCACAA